AUUGAACGCUAGCGGGAUGCCUUACACAUGCAAGUCGAACGAGUGGCGAACGGGUGAGUAAUGUAUCGGAACGUGCCCAGUAGCGGGGGAUAACUACGCGAAACGUAGCUAAUACCGCAUACUAUUGGAGCGGCCGAUAUCGGAUUAGCUCGUUGGUGGGGUAACUGUGCACCACGGCGACGAUCCGUAGCUGGGUUGGGAGGCCGACCAGCCAGACGGGGAAUGGGAGAAGGCCCAGACGCCUACGGGAGGCAGCAGUGGGGAAUUUUGGACAAUGGGGGAAACCCUGAACCAGCCAGCCCGCGUGUGCGAUGAAGGCCUUGGGGGUGUAAAGCACUUUUGGCAGGAAAGCGGUACCUGCAGAAUAAGCACCGGCUAACUACGUGCCAGCAGCCGCGGUAAUUC
rnacentral:rRNA from 1 species